GCGUCUAUGAUGACACACCUAUGUCAUGAAGAGAGGUGAUGACAAAAAUAUCAUGUUCAGGUUCCUGCUGCUGAGGCCC
rfam:Mesocricetus auratus contig197595, whole genome shotgun sequence.